CCUACGAGGGACAGCAGUGAGGAAUAUUGGUCAAUGGUCGGGAGACUGAACCAGCCAAGCCGCGUGAGGGAUGAAGGUACAGAGUAUCGUAAACCUCUUUUGUCAGGGUACAAAGGCGGGGACGCGUCCCCGGAUGAGUGUACCUGAAGAAAAAGCAUCGGCGAACUCCGUGCAAGCAGCCGCGGUAAUACGGAGGAUGCGAGCGUUAUCCGGAUUUAUUGGGUUUAAAGGGUGCGCAGGCGGUCUGUUAAGUCAGCGGUCAAAGCCCGGGGCUCAACCCCGGCCCGCCGUUGAAACUGGCAGUCUCGAGUUGGAGAGAAGUAUGCGGAAGGCGCGGUGUAGCGGUGAAAUGCAUAGAUAUCGCGCAGAACUCCGAUUGCGAAGGCAGCAUGCCGGCUCCACACUGACGCUGAGGCACGAAAGCGUGGGUAUCGAACAGGAUUAGAUACCCUUGUAGUC
rnacentral:rRNA from 1 species